AGUGAACGCUGGCGGUAGGCCUAACACAUGCAAGUCGAACGGCAGCACAGUAAGAGCUUGCUCUUACGGGUGGCGAGUGGCGGACGGGUGAGGAAUACAUCGGAAUCUACUUUUUCGUGGGGGAUAACGUAGGGAAACUUACGCUAAUACCGCAUACGACCUACGGGUGAAAGCAGGGGAUCUUCGGACCUUGCGCGAUUGAAUGAGCCGAUGUCGGAUUAGCUAGUUGGCGGGGUAAAGGCCCACCAAGGCGAGGAUCCGUAGCUGGGCUGAGAGGAUGAUCAGCCACACUGGACCUGAGACACGUUCCAGACUCCUACGGGAGGCAGCAGUGGGGAAUAUUGGACAAUGGGCGCAAGCCUGAUCCAGCCAUACCGCGUGGGUGAAGAAGGCCUUCGGGUUGUAAAGCCCUUUUGUUGGGAAAGAAAAGCAGCAGGUUAAUACCCCGCUGUUCUGACGGUACCCAAAGAAUAAGCACCGGCUAACUUCGU
rnacentral:rRNA from 1 species